ensembl:lncRNA uncharacterized LOC107566603
AGCGACCGACACCGAAACUACAAUGUCAAGCAUUUACGGGACACCGAGCUCCUCCGCGUUCAAGGACCCGUCCUGAUUUCUGAAUAUACGCGCAAAAUCUACGAACAAUCAGAUGCUAUUCCUGGAAGCAAAAGAUUGAGAUGAUGCAUCAUCUUUCAGACAAGGUGGAAGUGUGAGUGAGUCAGGGAGAGAUGGAGGUGAUUAGAAGAAAAGACUCUGACUCAAACGGCCUCUUCUCAGACAACUCGGACAAUGACUGUGAGGUAUGAACGCCAUUAUUGGAAAGGUAGGAGUGCCAUUAUUGGAGCUGCACAUGUUCGCUUUCUCUUUCUGUAGGACAUGGGGGCUUGUGGACAGACGACUGGAGUGUGUUUGUGUGAAAAUACCCCCUUUACCAGCUUCUGUGAUCAGCACCCUAAGGAGGACUCCAGUGUGAAGUGUGUCCAGUGCGGUAAGAACAGACCCAUGAUCACCAGAUACUCAGAGGGUUACGGCACAGAGGAGGAGUGUGUCCAGCCUCAUCUUCAGGGAGACAGCGACGCAGACGCAGACAUCGAGGACACAGACAGCAGGCUCCAGAUUGUGGGGUCCCUCCAGCGAAUCAGCUCCCGGAAGAGAAAGCGUCAGCGAAUCACGCGGCAGGACACAACGGAGAGCGAAGACGACGGGGGCCGGAGCCACAGGACGCACCGCUGGAGUCUACGACUCAGUCCUCAUCGCACACAUAACAGGACCAUACUGGAGGAGAGCAUUUCUCAGGUGCGGCCGCUGGUAAUCUGCCGCUGUGCAGCGCGAGAGAAUCAGACCGUCAUAGACGACAAACCCGACUGUGGAAAAUGGCCCCUGACAGUAUUUCCCAUCCCUCUUUCUCUCCCUGUGUCCUAUUAUCUGCUCAUCGUCUCUCUCUCCAUAUCCAUUAUCAUCGUUCUCGUGUCAUUCCUCCUACCGCUCACAGACACUUGACACUUAAAAUAUCACUGUAUAACCCUCUUCACCGUAUGAAUCAAUUCAUACAGUUGUGUCGACAUGUACUGUACAGUGUAUUAGACCCUUUUAUACAGUGUCAUCUAUAGAAGCCUGUUUUUGCCACAUAAGCAAAAAUGCUUUGGUAAAUCAUUAUGAGAUAAAAAGUCAAAAUUGUGACACAUUAUGUCAAGGAGAUAAAAAGUGAUAAUAUUUGCACUUUUUAUAUCAAAAUUGUGACUUGGUGUGUCACAAUUAUGAUAUAAAAAGUGCAAAAAUUAUGACAUAAGUCAUAAUUAUGAGAUAAGCUCAAAAUUGUGACACUAAGUCAUAAUGAGAUAAGAAGUCAUAAUUGUGACACACUAACGCCGGUUUCACACUGCACGCGUAAGCAGAGCGUAAGCAGCGCAUAUUUUUUUUGGCGCCCAUGUUAACAGAUUAUAGAGUAUUCACAGCACACGCAGAGGCGGCGCGUAGCAGGAGCAGAGCAGAAGCGGCAGUGCCACGAUCGUUUCGGCGCCAAGUCUAUUUUUGCUGCACCGCUUACGCUGAAUUAAAGCCACAGUGUAUUGUUCUUGAUCAAAAUUGACCUGAUUAACAUGAAAAAUAACAAUUUCACCAUAAAAUCGUGUAAGUGAGGUGUUUCGUGUUUCACAAUCAUGGGGCAAAAGGCACACAGUAUUGAUAAAUACUUUAGCUAAAAUAAUGUUUGUUUGUUUUUGUCUAAGUUAAUACUUGUUCAAAACAAUCACUUUAGCAAAGUUUGUA